rnacentral:rRNA from 1 species
ACUCAAAUGAAUUGACGGGGACUCGCACAAGCGGUGGAUAAUGUGGCUUAAUUCGUCGGCAAGCGAAGAACCUUACCAGGGUUAGAAAUGCAGCUGCAUCCCAUCCGAAAGGAAGGGAGCCUUCGAGGGUGCUGCACAGGUGAUGCAUGGUCGUCGUCAGUUCGUGGUUUGAACUGUUCCCUUCAGUGGGGUAACGAACGCAACCCCCGUUGCCUGUUAUAUAUGUCAGGCGAGACUGCUCCCUCACGGGAGAGGAAGGUGGGGAUGACGCCAGAUCAGCAUGUCCCUCUGAUACCCUGGGCUGCACACGUUAUACAAUGGCCGUUACAGAAGGAUGCGAUACCGCAAGGUGGAGCAAAUCCCGAAAAGCGGCCCCAGUACGGAUCGAGGUCUGCAACCGACCUCGUGAAGCCGGAAUCGCUAGUAAUCGUAGGUCAGCCAUACUACGGUGAAUACGUUCUCGAGUCUUGUACACACCGCCCGU